CUUCAGGGAGUGUAAACAUCCUACACUCUCAGCUGGAGCGCAGCCGAGGCCGGGAGUGGGAUGUUUGCGCUCUCUGGCU
ensembl:miRNA dre-mir-30c microRNA 30c